rnacentral:rRNA from 1 species
CCUACGGGGGGCAGCAGUGGGGAAUAUUGGACAAUGGGCGAAAGCCUGAUCCAGCCAUGCCGCGUGUGUGAAGAAGGCCUUCGGGUUGUAAAGCACUUUCAGUGGGGAAGAAAGCCUUGGGGCUAAUACCCUCGAGGAAGGACAUCACCCACAGAAGAAGCACCGGCUAACUCCGUGCCAGCAGCCGCGGUAAUACGGAGGGUGCGAGCGUUAAUCGGAAUUACUGGGCGUAAAGCGCGCGUAGGCGGUCUGAUAAGCCGGUUGUGAAAGCCCCGGGCUCAACCUGGGAACGGCAUCCGGAACUGUCAGGCUAGAGUGCAGGAGAGGAAGGUAGAAUUCCCGGUGUAGCAGUGAAAUGCGUAGAGAUCGGGAGGAAUACCAGUGGCGAAGGCGGCCUUCUGGACUGACACUGACGCUGAGGUGCGAAAGCGUGGGUAGCAAACAGGAUUAGAUACCCUAGUAGUC